CUCUCCCUGUUCUUUCCUUCCUGCCUUCCUGGUCUGGCUCUUCCACUCUCCGUUCUAGGGGAAGUUGACAGAAACAUCCAGACCAGAUGGUGGCCUCAGCCUUGCCAGAACCGGAGCAGUCCCCGACACUCAGCACUGUGGCACGUUCAAGCUGGACCGGCCCGUAGCGAGGGCACAGAGGCUCCUCCAGGCGGCGCUCGGAGCUCGGGAGGAGGCGGUGGAGAGCGGGCACUGCGGCACUGGACACGGUGGCCCAAGGGACAGCAGGGGGCGCCUCCACCCCAGGAGGUCCGGGACUGUGUUUAGAGACCGCAGCACCGCAGAUGGGAAACAGACCCCAGAAGGCAAACAAAGCUGCCUGGGGUCGCGAAGCCAGUACACGGGUUGAGAAGAGCCCCCCGCGGCCUUGCGCUGCCACUUCUUGGCUGUGCGGCCACAUCUAUAAAAUGGGGAUAAUAAUAGGGUGAUUGAAUGUGAAAAUGUUCUGAAAGUGGUUUUUCACAUCUGUCACUGAUAGAGUCUGUGCUGUCCCUGGGACUUAAAUUUCCUGAUUUCCAGUCUAGUACCUUUUGUAUCCAUCAAACAUGUUUGGCAGAGCUAAGGUGAUGUGUUCUACUUGGGGUGGGCUACCACUCUGAGGACGAAAGAACAAUGUGAUGGGAAGAUUCCUCAAGAGAUCAUCAGAAUUCAGUCCCAAGGUGACUCAGUGGGACCCAUCUGCUGAUCACUGCCAUCCUGUGCAAGGUCUAGUGGGGCCCUGGCUGAUCAGAUACUGGCUGCCUGGCGGGCUCCGGAGAGCUGCUUUAUGGCUUCAAGUGAGGCAUGCCCAGAGCCUGCCCACCUGGACACCACUGUACCUGCCUUGUGACAUCUGUCUCUGUGACUAAGAAGAGGUUGGGCUGAUUACCAUCAACUUCUGCAGCCCAAGAUGAACUCCAUUGUCCUCAACAAAGUUUCUGCUAGGAGCGCCUGGGUGGCUCAGUCUGUUGAGCAUGAUUUCGGGAUUUGUGAGUUUCCAGUUCGUGAGUUCGAGCCCCACAUCCGGGCUUUUUGCUGUCAGCACAGAGCUGCUUCAGAUCCUCUGUCUCCUUCUCUCUGCCCCUCCCCUGCAUGGAUGCUCUCUCUUUCUCUCAAAAAUAAAAUAAAAACAUGCAAAUAAAAAAACCCACCAGAGUUUUUGCUGCCCACGUAAAUUAGCCUCAACUUUUAUAUGUUCUAAUUUCAUAUAACUUUUAUGUAACUAUACAUUGAUAUUUUAAAACUGGUACUGUAUCAGUUGACGGAUGAUGAUUUUGUGUUUUCUCUUGGUGGUCUCUUGGUACCCGCUGCUGCUAGUUGAUAAAAGGCUAGGUCUCCACCUAGGUGAUCGGGUGGGUGUACAGGAAGUGUUUAUGGUGGAACUGGCCCCCUUACCCUCAAUGUGCCAGGCAGGGUGGGGCGGGCUGCGAAU